GUGGGGUACUGCUGAUCAAAGGGUCAUAUAACAUGAAAGCACAAAAGACCCCUCUGUUGGUCUUCCUUGGUCUCUUGUGUUCUGAGGGCCUCUGGAUGUCUGGAGUUUUGAUCUCCUCCAUACCUGCUUCAUGCCCUGGAUGACGGGGCUGUGGCCCCCCACACCCUCUAGCAGAUCAUUACAUGAAGGAACCUUUUAAAAAAAACAAGCGCAUCCAUGCUCACAGGUGUACACACGGGUGAUCACACCCACAAACUACACCCUUUUUGGCUCCUACCUCAAAGCACACUGUGUUCUGUUGAUCUUAUGUGCUGCACAAUAAUGUUUAACGUUUAGUAUUUACUGUCAUAUUCCCAUAUAUCAUUGUGAUGUUGUUUAUUCUAUUACUCUUGUUCUCUUCUGCUUGUUUUCUUUUUUCUUUCUCAACAGAUGAUCCAGGUGAUCGAUAUAUGCAUUUUUUUUUCUUUUUUCUUUUCUUUUUUUUUUCUUUUUCUGCCCAUUCUGUUGGUUUUUGUCUUUUGCCCUUCUCCCCCGUCCCUCUUCUCAGCUGUUUCUCUUUCCCUCUUUCUUUCUCCCCUUCUUUCCCCCAGUCAAGUCUGUCCCGUAUUCAGCAAGUGAAAAUAAAAUAAACAAUAAAAGGUGAAUCAAAUGGACCAUUAUGGCAAGGCUGGGAUGGUCCAUUUGGUAAAGUAAAUCCGUUGGGCAUCUUUCUUUGCCUUUAGACAAUAAUUCUGAUGGCAAAAGAGCCAAACAGGACAGGCAAAAAAAAAAAAAAAAAAAAAAAAAAAAGGAAAUACAUCCCUAUAAGUAUGUGACAGGUUAGAGGAGAGCUCUGUACCAGCGUGGAGUCACUGUGGGUAGAUGAAGAGCAUGUGUGCACAAACUGUUCAAACACAGCUACAGUGGGAAGGAGAAAACUACAAACAUGGUGGUCCUGGAUGUUCCCAGAGUGAUCACUGUGAUGAUGUCAUCUCCUUACAGCUCAAACGUGGCCUCCUGGUGAGUCGUGUUGAACCAAAGGAAGAUCAUGUUCUGGUGUCCUAAGAGGAGGUCAGAGAAGUCCACAGUGGGGACACCAGAUGAUGGACUACUCUCUUGCUCUUGACGAAGGCAGUCGCACUUUUCUCCUCCUCCUCCUCCCCCUUAGUCUCGUGUUUUUUGUAUUACUUUUCCCUGGAACACUCUCUCACAGUCUGUUCUCUAAAACCUAAAAGAGGAAUUAUGGAUUUGAUCAACUGGUCGCUGAAUGCAAUUGACACCCCUUUUCUCAACGAGAAGUCUGAGCUUGGGUGAGCCUGAGUGCUGAAGAUAUCUACCUAUUCGGAACCAUGAUAACAGGGUUCUUGCUGAUCGGAGCUGGCUUGGCCCUGGCUUAUCGAAGAAUUAAGGAAGCGGAACCGGCUGUUCAAACCCCCACAAGGCUGCACGCUGGGAUUGAAAUGAUGGGACGAGGCGUGAGUUUCUCAAAAUGGGCUCAUUGAGUGCAGCACGGAUAAGAUCUUGGAGAAGCUUAUGGCUGCCGUGAACAGUGUUGGUCAAGUUACUUGAAAAAAGUAAUCAGUAACUAAUUACCAGGGUUUUAAUAGUUUUGCAAUUUUCAUUAGUUUUUAUUUUUAUUUAGUUUUGACUUCAGAUUUUCAAUUUUAUAUCAGUUUUAAUUCGUUUUUACCAAUUGUUUGCUAGUUUAGUUUAGUUUUAAUUUUUUUUGAAAAUCCUUAGUUUCAGUUUAGUUUUGAUUAGUUUCAGUUAUAGUUUUAGUUUUGUUUGCAAUAAUUAAGUGCAACAAAAUCCCAGUUUCAUCAUAUCAGUCAUGCUCUUCUGCUUAUCCUUGGGUAUGUUGCUAUUCCAGCUACCAUACCCUGCACCCUGCACAGGUCGCCUGUCUGUCGCAGGGCUAACACGCAGAGACAGACAACUCACAUUCCCACCUAUGGGUUCUUUAAAUAAAUAAAUAAAUAAAGGCAGAUGAACAACCAUUGAUACCAGGCAACUAUAAAAUGUAUAUCUUGGCCCCAAUGAGACUAUUAACUCUUGCAGCACCGGGUGUUCGUAAUUUUGGUUCAAGUGAAUUGAUAAACUUUUUGAAGGCAAUUGACUCACACAGUUAUGUAGAUAUCCC
ensembl:lncRNA